GAUGAACGCUGGCGGCGUGCCUAGUACAUGCAAGUCGAGCGAACAGACGAGGAGCUUGCUCCUCUGACGUUAGCGGCGGACGGGUGAGUAACACGUGGAUAACCUACCUAUAAGACUGGGAUAACUUCGGGAAACCGGAGCUAAUACCGGAUAAUAUAUUGAACCGCAUGGUUCAAUAGUGAAAGACGGUUUUGCUGUCACUUAUAGAUGGAUCCGCGCCGCAUUAGCUAGUUGGUAAGGUAACGGCUUACCAGGGCAACGAUGCGUAGCCGACCUGAGAGGGUGAUCGGCCACACUGGAACUGAGACACGGUCCAGACUCCUACGGGAGGCAGCAGUAGGGAAUCUUCCGCAAUGGGCGAAAGCCUGACGGAGCAACGCCGCGUGAGUGAUGAAGGUCUUCGGAUCGUAAAACUCUGUUAUUAGGGAAGAACAAAUGUGUAAGUAACUAUGCACGUCUUGACGGUACCUAAUCAGAAAGCCACGGCUAACUACGUG
rnacentral:rRNA from 1 species